AGUGAACGCUGGCGGUAGGCCUAACACAUGCAAGUCGAACGGCAGCACAGUAAGAGCUUGCUCUUACGGGUGGCGAGUGGCGGACGGGUGAGGAAUACAUCGGAAUCUACUUUUUCGUGGGGGAUAACGUAGGGAAACUUACGCUAAUACCGCAUACGACCUACGGGUGAAAGCAGGGGAUCUUCGGACCUUGCGCGAUUGAAUGAGCCGAUGUCGGAUUAGCUAGUUGGCGGGGUAAAGGCCCACCAAGGCGACGAUCCGUAGCUGGUCUGAGAGGAUGAUCAGCCACACUGGAACUGAGACACGGUCCAGACUCCUACGGGAGGCAGCAGUGGGGAAUAUGGGACAAUGGGCGCAAGCCUGAUCCAGCCAUACCGCGUGGGUGAAGGAGGCCUUCGGGUUGUAAAGCCCUUUUGUUGGGAAAGAAAAGCAGCAGGUUAAUACCCCGCUGUUCUGACGGUACCCAAAGAAUAAGCACCGGCUAACUUCGUG
rnacentral:rRNA from 1 species